rnacentral:rRNA from 1 species
GAGAGUUUGAUCCUGGCUCAGGACGAACGCUGGCGGCGUGCUUAACACAUGCAAGUCGAACGCAAGGACGGAAAGAGCUUGCUCUUUUCAGAAUUGAGUGGCAAACGGGUGAGUAACACGUAAACAACCUGCCUUCAGGAUGGGGACAACAGACGGAAACGACUGCUAAUACCGAAUAAGUUCCAAGAGCCGCAUGGCCCAUGGAAGAAAAGGUGGCCUCUACCUGUAAGCUAUCGCCUGAAGAGGGGUUUGCGUCUGAUUAGCUGGUUGGAGGGGUAACGGCCCACCAAGGCGACGAUCAGUAGCCGGUCUGAGAGGAUGAACGGCCACACUGGAACUGAGACACGGUCCAGACUCCUACGGGAGGCAGCAGUGGGGAAUCUUCCGCAAUGGGCGAAAGCCUGACGGAGCAACGCCGCGUGAGUGAUGACGGCCUUCGGGUUGUAAAACUCUGUGAUCCGGGACGAAAAGGCAGAGUGCGAAGAACAAACUGCAUUGACGGUACCGGAAAAGCAAGCCACGGCUAACUACGUGCCAGCAGCCGCGGUAAUACGUAGGUGGCAAGCGUUGUCCGGAAUUAUUGGGCGUAAAGCGCGCGCAGGCGGCUUCCCAAGUCCCUCUUAAAAGUGCGGGGCUUAACCCCGUGAUGGGAAGGAAACUGGGAAGCUGGAGUAUCGGAGAGGAAAGUGGAAUUCCUAGUGUAGCGGUGAAAUGCGUAGAGAUUAGGAAGAACACCGGUGGCGAAGGCGACUUUCUGGACGAAAACUGACGCUGAGGCGCGAAAGCGUGGGAGCAAACAGGAUUAGAUACCCUGGUAGUCCACGCCGUAAACGAUGGAUACUAGUGUAGGAGGUAUCAACCCUCUGUGCCGAGUUAACGCAUAAGUAUCCCGCCUGGGAGUACGAUCGCAGAUUAAACUCAAGGAUGACGGGGCCGCACAGCGUGAGUAUGUGUUAUCGACGCACGCGAGACUUACCAGUCUGACUGAUCGCGAUCUGCAAUGCGGGUUCUUCUCGAGACGAGAAAACAGUGUGCACGCUGUCGUCAGCUCGGGUCUGGGAUGUUGAGUAGUCCGCACGAGGCACCAUAUCAUUUGUGUGCGAUCGUAAGGUGGUACUAAUUGACUGCGCGGCAACUCGAUAAAGCGUUACACUCGAGUACUCUGUGCGCCUC